rnacentral:rRNA from 1 species
ACCUUGACUGUGCUAAGGUAGCAUAAUAAAUUGACUUUUAAUUGGGGCCUUGAAUGAAAGGAUUAAUGGGUAAUAACUGUCUUAUAUUAACUUUUUAUAAGUUACUUAAAAGGUGAAAAUACCUUUACUUUAAUAAUAGACGAGAAGACCCUAGGAGUUUUAAUUUUGUUGGGGCGACAAUGUAGCAUAUAACCUACAUACUUAUAUUUUAUUUAACGAAUAGUUUUAAUAAAAAUCAAACUACCCUAGGGAUAACAGCAUAAUUUAAUUUAAGUUUGUGACCUCGAUGUUGGAUUAGGAACUUUUAAUACAAACAGUAUUAAUUGAUGGUUCUGUUCGAAC